GUUUGAUAGGAUUCUUAUGAUGGUUAUUUAUCAGAAGCUUGUGAAGAUAUUUGGAGUGUCACUUUUAUAGUUCGCCAGUGAAACUGCCUAGAAUGCUCAGAUAUAAAAGACAGUGAUAUUUCAUCAGUGAACAUUUACACAGACAAGGAAAGGGAGGUGAUGCCCCUAUCAGUCCAGCUUGCUUUGCUUUCACAGUUCUGUUUAGAAGAGUGAGUAUUCUCAGGCAAUGUAACUGUAUUAAUGUGCAGUCAUCAUUAACUUUCAUACGUAUUUCCAGAGGAAACAUCCCGCAAACAAUGACCAUCUUCUCAGUGGGUCUAGUUCGAUGACUCACGUAAACUGCAAAUGUUUUACAUUCUCGAGCCUCUAAAGUGACAGAUUUGUUCAUAUUCUUUAGGAUCAGCUGACUAAGAGUGCCAAACAGCACUGUGCAAUUUUCUCCUUCUGACAUUGGCUAGCACUACAUUUACAGUAAGGCCUUGUUGGAGACGGAAGGCUGUACCUCUAGCUUACAGUAGCUCAUUUCUCCUUGGGUGGUCUUGGUGUUACCAAAAAAUGAAGAGAAUGGUACCAAAUAUGGGAAAGGGCCACAUGCAUGCAAGUUUAUACUUUCAAGUUACCAAGUGAACUGCUCCAAGGCCCUCAACCAUGUGAAAGUGCUGCUGUACUGGCCACUGCGAUGCUCAGUGGUUUGUGAAGUUCACGUGCCUCCUACAAAACUGUGAGCU
rnacentral:lncRNA from 1 species